GUGUGCACUUGCGUGCGCCGUGCUGUGUACUAGCAAGAUAGUUGAAAAGAGAUCAGGCGGUAUUUGUUUAAAGCUUCCGUCAGUGGAAGUAAGUUUCCAGUGUCAAAAACUUCGAAACAGGGGUUGCCGUGCUGCGCCGGAUUACAACAGAAGCUCGGCAAAAGGGAUCAAAUUUCUUACAGAAAAUAAGAGAAGAAACUACAGGAGAGAAGGAUGGAAACAAACUACACUUUCGAAGUUGUUUGUGGUAUCUUGUAAUGAUAGCUACGACAUCACGUUCUUCUAUAGUGUAUAAUGCCAUAUGGUUUUAUUUAAGUUAUAUUUUGAUGGCUAGUCAUUCGAGAUGGAAGGGACGCUAUUAAAAAGGAAUGGAAUUCCUACGAAAUUCAGUGUUCCAACUCCACCGAAACCGUGCAUUUGAAAUCUAAAAACAAGGGCAGUUUUCGAAGCAGACAGUAAUGAAGCAGUACCAGUCUAUGGCCAUGUUUUUGUAUUUGGAGAAGCUUAUGACACCUGCUGGAGGACUGGUAUCCUCUACGCUCUACACAUGUGGCUCUCCAAUUCCUUCAGGAAUUUUUAAAGGACGGGGUUUUCAAGGGCACUGAAAAUAUGAGUGGGAGAAAAAGAACACCCCAGUCACAACCUUUGGCUGACUUGUCUCGUUUGCCCUCUUCUGUGCUGUAUUUAUCAUCUUUGUGACGAAUAUGUCUGGCUUUGUCAGAAUAGGAGAAAGUGACUGUAAAAGAUAAUCAAAUGUAAAAUUAUAAAUUUCAAAAAUUUUCUCUAUAAUUUUUUAAAACUUCUAAAAUUUUCUAUAUA